CUAAGUUUGAUGGCGACCGGCGCACGGGUGAGUAACACGUAUCCAACCUGCCGAUGACUCGGGGAUAGCCUUUCGAAAGAAAGAUUAAUACCCGAUGGCAUAGUUCUUCCGCAUGGUAGAACUAUUAAAGAAUUUCGGUCAUCGAUGGGGAUGCGUUCCAUUAGGUUGUUGGCGGGGUAACGGCCCACCAAGCCUUCGAUGGAUAGGGGCUCUGAGAGGAAGGUCCCCCACAUUGGAACUGAGACACGGUCCAAACUCCUACGGGAGGCAGCAUG
rnacentral:rRNA from 1 species